rnacentral:misc_RNA from 1 species
CACCACUCAAGCCUGGCUUGGUAUUGGGCGUCGCGGCCUCACCGCCGCGCGCCUUAAAGUCUCCGGCUGAGCAGUCUGUCUCCGAGCGUUGUGACACAUGUCGCUAGGGAGUACGGGUCUGCCGCGGCCGUUAAAUCUUUUAUUCA